UAAAUGUCUCCACCUGGUGGUGGAUUGCGUUAAGAACAGCAUUAAAAUAAUUGAAUAAUUAUUUAAGUAAAUUUUACAAACAAAUCCUAUUUUCUGUUUUUACUUCAAAACGUCAUGUUUAAUUCAAUAAGAUUUCAUUUUAAUAGUUAAUAGUAAUAUUUACAUAGUUGUUUGUCAUCUAAUGAACCAAUGCAAAAAAAAAAAUUAAGUAAAACUUACUCGACGAGGACAGGCGAUCUUUGCGCAUGCGCUCUUGGGUCCCGAAGUGGCACGUAGACGCAGAGGAAAGCAACGGAAGCUUUUCGAAAAUCUUCUUUUUUGAAGAAUGAAGUGAUUUUUUAUUUUUUUUUACUAUUGCACUCAUCAUUGAAGCUCAUGUAAGAUAAGUGCAAUACUGCAGAAAUACACCGAUUUCUAUAAUUAAUACACACACACACACACACACACACACACACACAUACAUACACACAUACACAACCACAAACACACGGCUCAAACACAUUAGUUAACAAUGUGUCUAGAACCUUUUACAGUACUGUAGCUUUACAGGUAGUUUUUUAAGUGUCUUGUAGACACAGUUCUUAUGGAUUUAGUCUUUUUCCCUCUUUCGUUAUGUAAUAACAGAUUUAGUGAUGGUGAGGCCAAAUCUGUGUGGAGGAUUUAUAACAUGUAAACACUUUGCACUUGUGUUUGACAGGAUGUCAGCAGAGACAUGAUGAAACAUAGCGUCACCAUUCAAAAACAUUUUCAUAAAUAACCUCAAAUCACUUCCAUUCCAAUACCAUAGCCACAUAUUUAUCUAUAUUUAUUCAAACACUGAAAACUGCACAAAAUACAACUACAAUUAAUAAGCAGUGAAUGACGCACUUUGAUUACUUUUCUUUAACAGCACGUCCUGAACUGCGUUAUUCCACUCAAGUGCAUUUUCAACAUUAAGUAUUAAAUGGCAUAUUUUAAUCUGUUUAUAGUAACAGAUGAAACAAGUACAUUAUUCCUGCAAUGUCACUUAUGUUUCAGCAGCUAUAAAUAGUUUGUAUGUCUUUUAAUCUCCCAGGUGUGUAAUAUAUAACUUACUAUUAUAUCAAGUCAAAUCAAAAAGAAUUGCCCAACCAAAUGUGUGCCAACCAAAACCUUCUGCAAAUUCAGUAAUAACAAGCCAUGGCUUACAGCCAAACUGAAAAAACUUUGACAUGCCAAGGAAGAUGCCUACAGAGGGGAGGACAAAGCUCUGUAUAAGCAGGCCAGGAACCUACUGACAAAAGAGAUCAGAAUAGCCAAAAAAAAGCCUACUCUGAAAAGCAGGUUUUCAGCUAACAGCCCUGCAUCAGUGUGGAAAGGCCUGCAAGACAUCACUAACUACAAAACACUGAAGCAAACAAAGACCUGGUUGAUGACCUGAACACCUUCUACUGCAGAUUUGAGAACAAUAUCUUUACACCUCCUAUCCAAACCAGCCUUUAAAUAAA